UAGGGAAUCUUCGGCAAUGGGGGGAACCCUGACCGAGCAACGCCGCGUGAGUGAAGAAGGAUUUCGGAUCGUAAAGCUCUGUUGUUAAGGAAGAACGAGUGUGAGAAUGGAAAGUUCAUACUGUGACGGUACUUAACCAGAAAGGGACGGCUAACUACGUGCCAGCAGCCGCGGUAAUACGUAGGUCCCGAGCGUUGUCCGGAUGUAUUGGGCGUAAAGCGAGCGCAGGCGGUUAGAUAAGUCUGAAGUUAAAGGCAGUGGCUCAACCAUUGUAGGCUUUGGAAACUGUUUGUCUUGAGUGCAGAAGGGGAUAGUGGAAUUCGUUGUGGAGCGGUGAGAUUCGUAGAUAUAUGGAAGAACACCGGUGGCGAAAGCGGGUCGCUGGGCUGUAACUGACGCUGAGGCUCGAAAGCGGGGGGAGCGAACAGG
rnacentral:rRNA from 1 species